rnacentral:rRNA from 1 species
CCUACGGGUGGCAGCAGUGAGGAAUAUUGGUCAAUGGACGAGAGUCUGAACCAGCCAAGUAGCGUGAAGGAUGACUGCCCUAUGGGUUGUAAACUUCGUUUAUAUGGGAAUAAAAUGUUCCACGUGUGGGAUUUUGUAUGUACCAUAUGAAUAAGGAUCGGCUAACUCCGGGCCAGCAGCCGCGGUAAUACGGAGGAUCCGAGCGUUAUCCGGAUUUAUUGGGUUUAAGGGGAGCGUAGGGGGAUUGUUAAGUCAGUUGUGAAAGUUUGCGGCUCAACCGUAAAAUUGCAGUUGAAACUGGCAGUCUUGAGUACAGUAGAGGUGGGCGGAAUUCGUGGUGUAGCGGUGAAAUGCUUAGAUAUCACGAAGAACUCCGAUUGCGAAGGCAGUUCACUGGACUGCAACUGACACUGAGGCUCGAAAGUGUGGGUAUCAAACAGGAUUAGAUACCCAGUAGUC